rnacentral:rRNA from 1 species
CGGGGAAUUUUGGACAAUGGGCGCAAGCCUGAUCCAGCAAUGCCGCGUGCAGGAUGAAGGCCUUCGGGUUGUAAACUGCUUUUGAACGGAACGAAACGGCUCUUUCUAAUAAAGAGGGCUAAUGACGAGUACCGUGAAGAAUACAUGCGAAGGGCUAACUACGUGC